GGCAUGACAGAGAGCACAGCACACAAGUACCAUUCAAACCUGCUCAGCUACUAAGCGAAACCAGCACCACAGCACCCGGAAAACCCGCCUUCUCUUCUGACUGGCAGGUCCGCCUAAAGGCUCUGAUUGGCCAGUAAGUCUGGAGUGACUCGAGCACCUCCCUUAGAUUUAGAGUGUGCUGAAGGUACACAGUGUAGAGGUUCUCAGCCCAAGCUUCAAGUCCAGGGCCAGACCUUUUCCAGAUCUACAGGGAUUUUCAUUUCUGUAGUAUUUGUGUCUGUCCUCCCUACCCAUCUGUCCCCCGCGCAGCCCCAGGGAGGCCCCACCACUCCACCUGCCGCAGCUCCGCUGCACCGCCGCUUGCUCCGCAGCUUGCUCCUCCCCUAUGUGGGCAGUGACCCUGUGCUCACCCAGUCCUGACUUCAACCUGAGCUUCCCUCACUCAGCAGCCUUCUUCCUCCUGGAAUCAAGGAGAAGUGAAGUACAGGAAAUGUCAGAAAACAACAUGCUGGAUUUUUCUCUUCUUGUUUUGUUGAGUUUUUUUGUUUUGUUUUUAUUGUCAACCUUAUACAAGUGAAGCUCAUCUUCAAAGAGGACUUCUUUCCCACCCCCCACCCCACCCCCAUGCAAAAGCAAGAGGUUUAUUUUCCAGAGCAUCGAGACGAGUUAAUAAGAAGGCGACCCCAAAUGGCUGUUACAAGCAGUUUUUAUACUUUUUAGGGGCACAGGUUACACCAGCAAGAUUACAGCUUGUUACUUCCUCCCAGCCUAGCAAGGCUGACUCAGACCAUCCCGCCAAUUAGGCGGAGUCACCUGCUGUGCUGCUUCUCAUCCCUCUCCUUUGAUGUGCCACUACCUGCCUGAGGCCGAACCUGCCUGAGGCCGAACCGGUUCUCUGAGAUUUUCCGGAGUUAUCACCGAAAUGUGAUCUUCGAUAGUUCCUACUAAAAGACUGAUCUGACUACUUCAAAGGAACUUUGUGUGACUGGGAAUGGGCCUUCCCUCUUCUUUAUGAAGCGUGCUUGCAGACAUUAAAGUUGAACCUUGAUCAGACUAUUUGUCUUGGUUCCAUUCUUUCUCUCGUUGCCUAGAUUCCCUCUUUUCUUCCAGAUUCCAAGAUGCCUUCCAGGCUCGAACCCGGACAUGUGAGCCACUGGCCAGCCUCAACAACAGCUCAAACUUAUUGGAUAAGCAUAUUGACCUUUAGACCUAUUGGCUAGCAAGCAUGACAGGUACUUGAACUCUACCUGGGACUUUCCAGAGGGUCAGGUACAUUCUGAGUAUUUUUUACUCAAGAAUGUUCUUGUGAGUGGAGAAUGGAACUUGGCCUAGCCUUGACUCCAGGCACGAGAGGGAAGCUGUAAGGAGGGUGUGGGACUGGAAAACCACUUAGCCUCCCUCAUUCCCCCCUUUUUCUUGUAUAAGCUCCAAUCCUGGAGCUAUGCUCAGGAGUCAUAUUCUUCAGAUCCUUUUCUCAGGGUCUCAUAUUGUUGGCCCAGAACCAUCAGCUGCACUGAUCCUAUUCUCUCUUUUAUGAAGGCUAUAAGUUUGUUCAAUAUGCAGGGUCCAAUAGCAGGAGAACAAUUAGGGGACUUAACAAGAGCAGAUAUGAAGGUGGUAACCAGGGGGAGGAGUUAAACCAAGAUUUGAACCAGCUCUGACUCUGUUUUUUCUCUCUCUCUCUCUUCCACUUGGCUAAACCUUCUCUCACCUUGCCCACUGAAUCUUUAACUACCCCCAGAAUUGUCUCCAAUUCUGCUAACCCUAAGCCUGUUUCACAUCCCCAGGUAGCAGAGAAAAAGUGGUUGGCCUAGCACUGAUGAGUCUGCUGUUGGCUUCUCUCAUUCCAGGGGCACACAUAUAUGGGGGUUUUCCAAGGACACUCUUCAAUAAAGAGGACUUCUUAACUGAGAAAAGGCUUCCAUCAGACUGGUCUGUAGGCAAAUAUGUUGGGAAUUUUCUUGAUUAAUUAUUGAUGUAAGAAAGCCCAAUGAUUUGUGGGCAAUGUGACCCCUGGGUAGGUGGGCCUUGGUCAUAUGAAAAAAACCAAACUGAGCCAACCAUGGGGAGCAAGCAAGCAAACAGCAUUCCUCCAUGGUCUCUGCUAUAAUUCCUGCUUCCAGGUUCCUGCUUGCCAGGGUUACUGCCCUGAUUUUCCUUCAUGAAAGACUAUAAUUUGUGCGACAGAAUAAAUAAAACCCUCAAGUUAGUGUUGAUUAUGAUGUUUAUCACAACAUAGAAAACAAAUUAGAACAAAUAGUAACAAUCAUUUAGGGACAGUCGCAGGCUUGAAGAAUAUACAAUAGUUUGGGACAACAUGUAUUUGCUCUGCAAACUUGGUGGACAAUAUUGUGUCCAAUCUUUGAGAACAUCCCAUCUGAGGGCUGGCUCCAUUACUACAUCUGAUGAAAAUGACAGAAAGCUGAGGACAGUUAGACAUGACCUGUUGCAGUGUCAUGUCUUCUAGCUCUUAAUUGCUAAAUCACAACCUGUAUUUUUUUUUUAACAGCAUCUGUUGUCUAUGAUAGUCCUUACCAGGUAAUGUGAUACAAUUUUAAGACAGGUAUUCCUUUCUUCACCAUGAGAAGCAGUUACAGAGAUGAAGAGAUAGCUCAGUGGUUAAGAGCACAGACUUCCAUUGAAGAGGACCAAGGCCUGGUUUCUAGCAUCCACAUUGGAAGGUUCACAACUGCUUUUAACUCCAGCUCCACGGGACCAGACACUUCUAGUCUCUGAGGGUGCCCCCACACUUCCACACACAAACUAAAAAGAAACAAAGAAAGAGAGAGAGAGGGAGAGAGAGAGAGAAGGAGAGAGAGAGAGAGAGAAAGAAAGGAAGGAAGGAAGAAAGAGCAGUUGUAUAUGAUAUUUUUUGUUUUUAAAAAGAUAAAAAGGCGGGUUGAAUAUUAGCAAUGUUCAGAGUUAGCAAGAUCAAGUGAAAAGGUGUAACUCUAACCCUGAAAUCAACCCAAAAUGCUAAUUGCUAAAGUUGUCUUAGUCUCAAUCUCUCAAUAUUCCUAAUGAAGUGAAAAAAAAGUUUACCAGUGUACACUUAUUGUUGUCACCUAUCCUGCAUAGGCUUUCUAAUAACACGAACACCAGUGACAGAAGUAGUAACUAAUGUUUGUUUAUUUAGUGUCUGUUUGGUGAGAAGGCCUGCACAGUUUUUCAUAUUUCACCCCCAAGUUUGCAGUAAUCCUGAAACGUAUGUGCUAUUUAGUCAGUUUUAUAGAUGAAGGCUCUAGGAUGCUGUCUAGCACUCCAUUGGUCUGGGACUCAGAGCUGGAAUCUGAGUCACUCAAUAGAGAAUGCUAAGUGUUGUGUUGUCUACUGCUUAUCGUGUCUUGAGGUUGCUUGCCAUUCUAGGAGUAAUAAACUGAUGUUUGUUACAUGAAACUUUAGUCUAAAUAUCUAAAGAAGCACUGAACAUAUUUUCUUAUGCCAGCAUGAAUUUAAACAUCUCUCCACAGCCAAAGAUGACACAAACAUUUAGUGAAGAAAAAAAUCCUUGUAUGUUUCAGGCCACC
rnacentral:lncRNA from 1 species